CCUGCACCGGAUGCUGCAGAACCUCUUUCCAGAGGGCAGCAGGGAGAACAGUCCAUGGUGGGGGUGUGAGGGGUCACUGACGAUGUUUCGGCCUCAGGAAUUAGGGGCCGGAGUGUUGGAGCUAUUUAUUCUUUAUUUCUUUAUCCAUUUGAAUUUUGUUAGUUUAUUCUUACAUUUCUAGUUUUUGUAUUAUUUACAGAGUUUAUUUGCAGGUUAAUAAUUGUUGAUUCUAUUUAUCUUUUGUUUUAUUAUUUGUUAUUUAUUCGUUUUCUAAAGACAGGAAGUGAGGUGGAUCAAUCCACUUUCUAUAAGCAGCAUGAAAACAAGACAAAGUUUGAACUCUGUAAUUGUUUAGCUGAAACAAAAUAAAUCAUCCAGAACAACAAGACAAGUUUGGACAGUGAACCUUCUUUUGCCUGCAUAUGGAAAACUUGACCCCAGUGCCUUAUAGUGGCUUCAUGGAACAGGAUGUUUGGUUUGGCCCACAAUGGCCACUACAGCAAGUAAAAACCUCCGCAUGGAUCAAGUAAGGAACCAACUCGUGGACUAAAAGGAAUAAUCCCUCAUCAAUGGACAUGUUGGGUGUAUGGAUCUCAAGGAUUACCGUCAAACAAAAGGUUUUGGAUCGUGUUGAAAUCAAGCAUCGGGCCUGGAUCGACACGUCACUCAUUCAUCAAACUGGUACGUGGCAAUAUUGUUCAAGCCGUAAAGGAAAACGAUGAAACUACUGGAGUUUAAAGACAUUAUUUCACUGCAAAGACUGAUGAGAUGAUUUGAUGUGACAACUUGAAGCUUAAUUGGAUAAAGACGUGUGCCGACGCCCAUCAUGGAAAUGUUUGUUCACACGAAUCAACCUCUUAAACAAAGAGACACGUUUGUGAUUUGUCCUGUGGAUUCCUUGUGGAUUAUGCUGCUUUUAAAUGUUUGAAAUAAUUCAAAGAAUCGCUAAAAAUGUCUGAUGUAAAGAGCAAAGAGGAUGACACUCAGAUGUCGCAAGAGAAACGAAACAUCAAAUUCACGCCAAAGGGUUUGGAGUUUUACAUAAAAACAUGUCAAGAAAAACGAAGUUUAAAGUGUAAACAAGCUUCAAAAUUAGUGGAGAAAAUUUCCGCAUUAAUGACGUCACAAGAAAAUGUUAAGAAAGUGUCUUCUGACUUUGUCAAGUUUAUUAAAUGCUAUCAAGAUGCAACCGA